UUGGUUAAUCCGGAGACAUCGGAUGGUCAUGACUGGCAAGGUCUAGUGGACUAUGCAUGGAGCCAUGAUGUUGUGUCAGACGAAACUCACCAAUCAUAAGUAAUGGCAGAUGUGUAUGUGAUACUAUGGUGGAUGUUUCAUCAUGCUUAAGUAAUGGCAGAAAAGCACCCUGAGAUUUAACCCAUGAAGUGUCUGGUGAUGGAAUCCUAUUUUUUAGUAUGUGUGUUCUAUUUGAACUUUUAUGAUGAUUUGAGUUGUUUUUUUUUUUUUUUUUUUCAGAACUGUGAUUUAUGUGGGUCCACUACCCACUUACAGAGUUUUGUCUCUUUUUGUUGGUCUUUUCUUUCUUCCUUGAAGAUAUUGGUCAUGGCCUUUGUGUUUGGCUGUGCUUCGGUUAGCUCACCCCUAAACUGGAAUGGAUUCGCUGCCUAGUUCUGAAGAAUCAAGUUUAAGGUAAGUAUACAAGGUUUGGCAUCUUGUAUUAAAAAUAAAAAUUACUUAAUCUAUGGUUUGCAUAAAGUGAAUCUCGUCAUUGUGGAGUUUCUUUUGGUAGUGUUUAUUUACUGUGUGAAAUCAAUUCUAGGACUUAUCUAGGUGUAAGGAAACAUUGUCAACCCUUAAAGCCAUGCAGGGGCAAGGAGCCUAUCCACAACUAGAACUGGACAUAGCUCACCUUGAAAAGGAAAUUGAGUUAUAUUCAUUGGAGAAGCUGUGUUAUGAAGCUCAAAUGAUGGUAUGGUAAAUGAGAAUGCUUCAUCUCCUUUUCAAAUAGGAAAUUGCUUCACAUCUGGGCUUUCCUGAUGGUUCUGUAAGUCACUAUGGUUGUUAAUGGAGUCCAUGGUUUGAUUUUUCAAGCACGUGAACCUGAGACAUUGACUAGAGCUUUCUCGAUUUUAGUAUCGGACAUGAAGCUGUCUAAAUUUGCUCAUGUAGUUGCUUCCUCUGGAAAGUUACUUGCUAGGAACACACUAGCAUCAGAGUUUAUAACAGGCUAUGCAAAGCUUUUAGAAAAUGUUCUUCAGUUUCCAUCAGAUUCCAUGCUCCCCAGGUCCAUUUCUCAGCUUCAAAAAUACAAUUGGGAGUGGAAUUUGUUCAGGAAGAAAUCAUAUGAGAGAGGCACGAGCCAACAAUGAAGCCAGAACUGAACUUGAGAGUCGUUUGAGAGAAGCUGGGGAGCGAGAAGCUACCUUUGUUCAAGCACUUGAAUAACUGAGGCAGACUCUUAGUAGAACAGAGCAGCAGGCAGUUUUUAGAGAGGACAUGGUUUGAAGAGACAUUGAUGAUCUUCAAAGAUUGGGUGGUAUGCAACA